CCAUAGUGAGGACAAGAGUGGGGCUUCUUCUAAAUGAUAUAUAUUAAAGAAAGCAGAGGGCCAUUCCAUGAUCCAGGCCGGAUCUUAUUCACUGCUCUACUUCAGCUCAUUUAUUUACCUUGUCUGUGGCAGAAGAAUUAGUGGCUACAGCAGAGUAGAGUGUUAUACCAAGGAGAAGGAGCUUCAGAAAAAGACUGGUCAAAUACCAAUGGACCCAGGACAUCAAACUGCAUACUUG